GCUGUAAUAGCUCAGUUGGUAGAGCACUUGCCUUGUAAGCAUGGGGUCGUGGGUUCAAAGCCUACUUACAGCACCA
rnacentral:tRNA from 1 species